AUUGAACGCUGGCGGCAGGCCUAACACAUGCAAGUCGAACGAGUGGCGGACGGGUGAGUAAUGUCUGGGAAACUGCCUGAUGGAGGGGGAUAACUACUGGAAAAGGUAGCUAAUACCGCAUACCAUCGGAUGUGCCCAGAUGGGAUUAGCUAGUAGGUGGGGUAACGGCUCACCUAGGCGACGAUCCCUAGCUGGUCUGAGAGGAUGACCAGCAACACGGGAACUGAGAAACGGUCCAAACUCCUACGGGCGGCAGCAGUGGGGAAUAUUGCACAAUGGGGGCAGGCCGGAUGCGGCCAUGCCGCGUGUAUGAAGAAGGCCUUCGGGUGGUAAAGUACUUUCAGCGGGGAGGCGUUACCCGCAGAGGAAGCACCGGCUAACUCCGUGCCAGCAGCCGCGGUAAUUC
rnacentral:rRNA from 1 species